GACGGGGAGCUUGCUCCCCUGAUUCAGCGGCGGACGGGUGAGUAACACGUGGGCAACCUGCCUGUAAGAUCGGGAUAACUCCGGGAAACCGGGGCUAAUACCGGAUGGUUCCUUCCUCCGCAUGGAGGAAGGCGGAAAGACGGUUUCGGCUGUCACUUACAGAUGGGCCCGCGGCGCAUUAGCUAGUUGGUGGGGUAAUGGCCCACCAAGGCAACGAUGCGUAGCCGACCUGAGAGGGUGAUCGGCCACACUGGGACUGAGACACGGCCCAGACUCCUACGGGAGGCAGCAGUAGGGAAUCUUCCGCAAUGGACGAAAGUCUGACGGAACAACGCCGCGUGAGCGAAGAAGGCCUUCGGGUCGUAAAGCUCUGUUGUAAGGGAAGAACAAGCGCCGGUUAACUGCCGGCGCCCUGACGGUACCUUACCAGAAAGCCACGGCUAACUACGUGCCAGCAGCCGCGGUAAUACGUAGGUGGCAAGCGUUGUCCGGAAUCAUUGGGCGUAAAGCGCGCGCAGGCGGUUUCUUAAGUCUGAUGUGAAAGCCCACGGCUCAACCGUGGAGGGUCAUUGGAAACUGGGAGACUUGAGUGCAGAAGAGGAGAGCGGAAUUCCACGUGUAGCGGUGAAAUGCGUAGAGAUGUGGAGGAACACCAGUGGCGAAGGC
rnacentral:rRNA from 1 species